GUCUACGGCCAUACCACCCUGAACGCGCCCGAUCUUGUCUGAUCUCGGAAGCUAAGCAGGGUCGGGCCUGGUUAGUACUUGGAUGGGAGACCGUCUGGGAAUACCGGGUGCUGUAGGCU
rnacentral:rRNA from 1 species